UACGGGGGGAGCAAGCGUUGUUCGGAUUUACUGGGCGUAAAGGGCGCGUAGGCGGCCACCGCAAGUCGACUGUGAAAUCUCCGGGCUUAACCCGGAAAGGUCAGCCGAUACUGCGGGGCUAGAGUGCAGAAGGGGCAACUGGAAUUCUCGGUGUAGCGGUGAAAUGCGUAGAUAUCGAGAGGAACACCUGCGGCGAAGGCGGGUUGCUGGGCUGACACUGACGCUGAGGCGCGAAAGCCAGGGGAGCAAACGGG
rnacentral:rRNA from 1 species